rnacentral:rRNA from 1 species
AUUGAACGCUGGCGGCAUGCCUUACACAUGCAAGUCGAACGGUAACAGGUCUUCGGAUGCUGCCGAGUGGCGCACGGGUGAGUAAUACAUCGGAACGUGCCCAGACGUGGGGGAUAACGAGGCGAAAGCUUUGCUAAUACCGCAUACGAUCUAAGGAUGAAAGCAGGGGACCGCAAGGCCUUGCGCGUUUGGAGCGGCCGAUGGCAGAUUAGGUAGUUGGUGGGAUAAAAGCUUACCAAGCCGACGAUCUGUAGCUGGUCUGAGAGGACGACCAGCCACACUGGGACUGAGACACGGCCCAGACUCCUACGGGAGGCAGCAGUGGGGAAUUUUGGACAAUGGGCGAAAGCCUGAUCCAGCAAUGCCGCGUGCAGGAUGAAGGCCUUCGGGUUGUAAACUGCUUUUGUACGGAACGAAAAGGCUCUGGCUAAUACCUGGGGCACAUGACGGUACCGUAAGAAUAAGCACCGGCUAACUACGUG